ACGGGAAAAAUAAUAAAAGCAUUCCACUAUAAGAAAUCAAGAAUCCACAGUACAAUCUUUACAAUACACGGUGAAAACAGAAAAGAGAAAACGGUUAUGGUUGUAGGCAAAUCUUCCUCCAUGAUGCCGCUCCGAUUAAAUACCUGAAACAUCCUAUACACACGAACACAACAUACAUCCACUCUACUUGAAAACAUUGGAAUCAGAGGUAAUGUAAAGCAAUAACUUGGACGCAUUUUAUUAGGUAAGAACAUGAUCCAAAUAGCAACUCAGGUCAAAACAGCAGAUUUCAAGUUCAGCGUGCAAGAAUAUAUACCAUUUGAAUAGAUCAGCAUGCGUAUACACGAGGAUGACAAAAUAAUGGAGUUAUGCGAACACAUACACCAAAGCGGCUAAGCAACAGAACUGAACCAUCAAUAAUCUUCGAUAAUGUCGCAUCCGUUAUUGCAAAAUCCACCUUCAAAAGGUCACCAAGCAUUCCAGAAAGCAAAGUCUUAUAUCAACUAGCGCACACCCCGUAAAAGAAACUGUACAAGAUGUCUCUGGUACGGAUUGAGAGAUGGAUCGGGAACCUGCGGGUCAAGGCGGAUGCCGGAUCACUUGACUGGGGCGAUGGGGGUGGU
rnacentral:lncRNA from 1 species